AUGGCUUCCCAGCCUUUCAGUUAAGAUCAAGUGUAGUGUCUGGUUUUAUCAGGUUAAUAUCCGAGGAAAAUAUAUUGAAUUGAUUUUUGGAGCGAGGAGAUGGAGUAGCAGCUUGCUGUGUCCGCUCCACACGCUAACAUGGUGUUAUAGAAGUCCAGAAAUGGUGCACUCCCU
ensembl:snRNA U2 U2 spliceosomal RNA